AAUACGACUCCACUAUAGGGCGAAUGUCGACGUGCAUGCUCCGGCGCAUGCCGCGCGGAAUCGAUUAGAGUUGAUCAUGCUCAGAACGAACGCAGCGGCAUCUUACACAUGCAAGUCGAGGGCAUUUCGGGGGCAACUCUGGAGUGACCGGCGAACGGGUAUGUAACACGUGAGCGACCUUGCCUCGUGGUGGGGGAUAGCCGGCCCAACGGCCCGGGUAAUACCGCAUAGGGUAGUUCUUUCGCAUGGGAGGACUAGCAAAGCCGUGCAGCAAUGCACUGGCGCCACAGGGGGGGCUCGCGGCCUAUCAGCUAGUUGGGGGGGUAAUGGCCCACCAAGGCGACGACGGGUAGCUGGUCUGAGAGGAUGGCCAGCCACAUUGGGACUGAGAGACGGCCCAGACUCCUACGGGAGGCAGCAGUGGGGAAUCUUGCGCAAUGGCCGAAAGGCUGACGCAGCGACGCCGCGUGGGGGAGGAAGGCCUUCGGGUUGUAAACCCCUGUUGCCCGGGACGAAUGUGCAUUUUUGAAUGCAUUGACGGUACCGGGUGAGGAAGCACCGGCUAACUCCGUGCCAGCAGCCGCGGUAAUACGGAGGGUGCAAGCGUUGUCCGGAAUCACUGGGCGUAAAGGGCGCGUAGGCGGCUCAUGAAGGCUGUGGUGAAAGUCCGGGGCUCAACCUCGGAUCGGCCGUGGCGACUCGUGGGCUGGAGCACUGUAGAGGCGGGUGGAAUUCCGGGUGUAGCGGUGGAAUGCGUAGAGAUCCGGAGGAACACCAGUGGCGAAAGGCGGCCCGCUGGGCAGUGGCUGACGCUGAGGCGCGACAGCGUGGGGAGCAAACAGGAUUAGAUACCCUGGUAGUCCACGCCGUAAACGAUGGGCCCUAAGUGCUUGGGGGAGCGACCCUCUGAGUGCCGGCGCUAACGCAUUAAGUGCCCCGCCUGGGGGAUUACGGCCGCAAGGCUGAAACUCAAAGGAAUUGACGGGGGCCCGCACAAGGCAGUGGAGCAUGUGRUKUAAUUCGAUGCAACGCGAAGAACCUUACCUGGCCUUGACAUGUCUGGAAUCCUUGAGAGAUCGAGGAGUGCCUUCGGGAAUCAG
rnacentral:rRNA from 1 species